rnacentral:misc_RNA from 1 species
UACGUAGGGUGCUAGCGUUAUUCGGAAUUACUGGGCGUAUAGGGUGCGUAGACGGCACAUUAAGUCGAUUGUUAAAGGUCCCGGCCUAACCGGGAACAUGCGGUCGAAACUGAUGCGCUAGAGGAUGGAAGAGAGAAGUGGAAUUCUCGGAGUAGCGGUAAAAUGCGUAGAUAUCGAGAGGAACACCAAUGGCGAAGGCAGCUUCUUGGUCCAUUCCUGACGUUGAGGCACGAAAGCGUGGGGAGCAAACAGG